GGCUCAGGAUGAACGCUAGCUACAGGCUUAACACAUGCAAGUCGAGGGGCAGCAUUGGGAUAGCUUGCUAUUCAGAUGGCGACCGGCGCACGGGUGAGUAACGCGUAUCCAACCUUCCUAGCCAGUAGGGAACAGCCCGGCGAAAGUCGGAUUAAUGCCCUAUGUUCUUCAAUGCGGACAUCUAAGUUGAAGGAAAGAUUCAUCGCUGGCAGAUGGGGAUGCGUCCGAUUAGCUUGCCGGCGGGGUAACGGCCCACCGGGGCGACGAUCGGUAGGGUUCUGAGAGGAAGGUCCCCCACACUGGUACUGAGACACGGACCAGACUCCUACGGGAGGCAGCAGUGAGGAAUAUUGGUCAAUGGGCGUAAGCCUGAACCAGCCAAGUAGCGUGCAGGACGACGGCCCUACGGGUUGUAAACUGCUUUUAUGCGGGGAUAAAGUGCGGCACGUGUGCCGCUUUGCAGGUACCGCAUGAAUAAGGACCGGCUAAUUCCGUGCCAGCCGCCGC
rnacentral:rRNA from 1 species